rnacentral:rRNA from 1 species
AUGAACGCUGGCGGCGUGCUUCACACAUGCAAGUCGAACGGAAAGGCUCCUGCUUGCAGGGGUACUCGAGUGGCGAACGGGUGAGUAACACGUGGGUGAUCUGCCCUGCACUUCGGGAUAAGCCUGGGAAACUGGGUCUAAUACCGGAUAGGACGAUGGUUUGGAUGCCAUUGUGGAAAGUUUUUCGGUGUGGGAUGAGCUCGCGGCCUAUCAGCUUGUUGGUGGGGUAAUGGCCUACCAAGGCGUCGACGGGUAGCCGGCCUGAGAGGGUGUACGGCCACAUUGGGACUGAGAUACGGCCCAGACUCCUACGGGAGGCAGCAGUGGGGAAUAUUGCACAAUGGGCGCAAGCCUGAUGCAGCGACGCCGCGUGGGGGAUGACGGCCUUCGGGUUGUAAACUCCUUUCGCUAGGGACGAAGCGCAAGUGACGGUACCUGGAGAAGAAGCACCGGCUAACUACGUG